UGGCUCAGAUUGAACGCUGGCGGCAGGCCUAACACAUGCAAGUCGAACGGUAGCACAGAGGAGCUUGCUCCUUGGGUGACGAGUGGCGGACGGGUGAGUAAUGUCUGGGAAACUGCCCGAUGGAGGGGGAUAACUACUGGAAACGGUAGCUAAUACCGCAUAACGUCGCAAGACCAAAGAGGGGGACCUUCGGGCCUCUUGCCAUCGGAUGUGCCCAGAUGGGAUUAGCUAGUAGGUGGGGUAACGGCUCACCUAGGCGACGAUCCCUAGCUGGUCUGAGAGGAUGACCAGCCACACUGGAACUGAGACACGGUCCAGACUCCUACGGGAGGCAGCAGUGGGGAAUAUUGCACAAUGGGCGCAAGCCUGAUGCAGCCAUGCCGCGUGUAUGAAGAAGGCCUUCGGGUUGUAAAGUACUUUCAGCGAGGAGGAAGGGGAUGUGGUUAAUAACCGCAUUCAUUGACGUUACUCGCAGAAGAAGCACCGGCUAACUCCGUGCCAGCAGCCGCGGUAAUACGGAGGGUGCAAGCGUUAAUCGGAAUUACUGGGCGUAAAGCGCACGCAGGCGGUCUGUCAAGUCGGAUGUGAAAUCCCCGGGCUCAACCUGGGAACUGCAUCCGAAACUGGCAGGCUAGAGUCUUGUAGAGGGGGGUAGAAUUCCAGGUGUAGCGGUGAAAUGCGUAGAGAUCUGGAGGAAUACCGGUGGCGAAGGCGGCCCCCUGGACAAAGACU
rnacentral:rRNA from 1 species